GCAAAGAACAAGAUCCUCAUGGGGCUGAGAGGCGGAGUGUUGAAAUAGACAAGAAGAACAAGACAAUUACUGCGUACCAUGAGUCUGGUCAUGCCAUCGUUGCCUAUUACACCAAAGAUGCAAUGCCCAUCAAUAAGGCCACGAUUAUGCCCAGAGGACCAACUCUUGGACAUGUGUCCAUGCUCCCUGAGAACGACCGCUGGAGUGAGACACGAGCUCAGCUCCUGGCUCAGAUGGACGUCAGCUUGGGCGGUUGAGUAGCAGAGGAGCUCAUCUUUGGGGAUGACUACA